GUCCCUUCGGGGACAUUCGAUAAAAUUAGAAGUAGAUUAGCAUGGCCGCUGCGCAAGGAUGAUUCACACAAAUCAAGAAAUGGUUCAAUUUUUU
rfam:Triticum aestivum genome assembly, contig: Triticum_aestivum_CS42_TGACv1_scaffold_423834_5BS